rnacentral:sRNA from 1 species
UAAUUUGUUAGGUGAGGCUCCUACACGGAUACACGCUGCUGCCCGGAAACAUCGAGAGAUGCCAAUGGGUCAACAGGUUUUAUCGAAGUAAGGUAUAACUUAAUGCAGCUGAAUUUAAUAUUCAAAGCUGUGUAGUGCUAAAACUCAACGAAG